UACGUAGGGUGCGAGCGUUAAUCGGAAUUACUGGGCGUAAAGCGUGCGCAGGCGGUUAUGCAAGACAGAUGUGAAAUCCCCGGGCUCAACCUGGGAACUGCAUUUGUGACUGCAUGGCUGGAGUGCGGCAGAGGGGGAUGGAAUUCCGCGUGUAGCAGUGAAAUGCGUAGAUAUGCGGAGGAACACCGAUGGCGAAGGCAAUCCCCUGGGCCGGAACUGACGCUGAGGAGCGAAAGCGUGGGUAGCAAACAGG
rnacentral:rRNA from 1 species